rnacentral:rRNA from 1 species
ACGCUGGCGGCGUGCUUAACACAUGCAAGUCGAACGGUGAAGAGGAGCUUGCUCCUUGGAUCAGUGGCGAACGGGUGAGUAACACGUGAGUAACCUGCCCCAAACUCUGGGAUAAGCACUGGAAACGGUGUCUAAUACCGGAUACGAGCUUCAGCCGCAUGGCUAGGAGUUGGAAAGAAUUUCGGUUUGGGAUGGACUCGCGGCCUAUCAGCUAGUUGGUGAGGUAAUGGCUCACCAAGGCGACGACGGGUAGCCGGCCUGAGAGGGUGACCGGCCACACUGGGACUGAGACACGGCCCAGACUCCUACGGGAGGCAGCAGUGGGGAAUAUUGCACAAUGGGCGCAAGCCUGAUGCAGCAACGCCGCGUGAGGGACGACGGCCUUCGGGUUGUAAACCUCUUUUAGUAGGGAAGAAGCGGAAGUGACGGUACCUGCAGAAAAAGCACCGGCUAACUACGUGCCAGCAGCCGCGGUAAUACGUAGGGUGCAAGCGUUGUCCGGAAUUAUUGGGCGUAAAGAGCUCGUAGGCGGUUUGUCGCGUCUGCUGUGAAGACCCGAGGCUCAACCUCGGGCCUGCAGUGGGUACGGGCAGACUAGAGUGCGGUAAGGGGGAUUGGAAUUCCUGGUGUAGCGGUGGAAUGCGCAGAUAUCAGGAGGAACACCAAUGGCGAAGGCAGAUCUCUGGGCCGUAACUGACGCUGAGGAGCGAAAGCAUGGGGAGCGAAC